rnacentral:tRNA from 1 species
CUUUUAAAGGAUAGAAGUAAUCUAUUGCUUUUAGAAACCAUCCACCCU